rnacentral:lncRNA from 1 species
UAUCGACACCAUAUGGGAUUUAAACUCCCAACCUUUUGGUUCUCGACCACGCUAUUAUUAUGACGUUGAAUGCCAAGUUAAUCAUAAUCUACCGGAUGCAAUGAAUAUCAAAUCCUGGUCUUCUUUCAAAACGCAAAAACCCGUUAGGGCAAUGGCGAAAGAGAGCAUGGCGCCCCCUUUGGCGCCUGGGAAAUGGUCUAGGGGCGCUAUGGCGCCAAAGGAGCUGAGGUGACAGGAGCGGUAUACCACAUUCACCGGUCUAACAACCAGGACGUCAACUAUACGAAAUUUUGGGUAGUUUCUUUGGAAUCUGCACCUCCUUUUAAUCACCUUUUCCACAUAUCAACCGAAUCCACACAUAGAAAUGGAUUCCACUUUUGUUGUCAUCACAUUUCCUAUAAAUUCGUCUCCUUUGUGGGUCAGAAAAAUUAACAACCUAAUUCAUGGAUCCCUCACAAGUGAUGUUGAAUUGCGACGGUUUGUUCGACUGCAAUGUUGGUGUCACUAAAAAGAUCAUCAUUGAUACGGAUCCCGGCAUAGAAUGA